rnacentral:rRNA from 1 species
UACGGGGCGCAGCAGGCGCGAAACCUCCGCAAUGGGCGAAAGCCCGACGGGGCCACCCCGAGUGCCACCCUCGUGGUGGCUUUUGCGCGGUGUAAAAAGCCGCGCGAAUAAGCGGGGGGCAAGACGGGUGUCAGCCACCGCGGUAAUACCCGCUCCGCGAGUGGUGGGGACUUUUACUGGGCUUAAAGCGCCCGUAGCCGGCCGGGUGUGUCCUUCGUUAAAUCCACAGGCCUAACCUGUGGGCUGCGGGGGAUACUACCCGGCUUGGGGGUGGGAGAGGGCGGCGGUAUUCCCGGGGUAGGGGUAAAAUCCACUGAUCCCGGGAGGACCACCAGUGGCGAAGGCGGCCGCCCAGAACACGCCCGACGGUGAGGGGCGAAAGCUGGGGGAGCAAACGGGAUUAGAUACCCCGGUAGUCCCAGCCGUAAACGAUGCGGGCUAGGUGUCGGGCUGGCUACGGGCCAGCCCGGUGCCGAAGGGAAACCAUUAAGCCCGCCGCCUGGGGAGUACGGCCGCAAGGCUGAAACUCAAAGGAAUUGGCGGGGGAGCACCACAAGGGGUGGACGUUGCGGCUUAAUUGGAGUCAACGCCGGAA